GACGAACGCUGGCGGCGUGCUUAACACAUGCAAGUCGAACGACGUGGCGAACGGGUGAGUAACGCGUAAUCAACCUGCCCUUCAGAGGGGGACAACAGUAGGCAACGACUGCUAAUACCGCAUACUGAAGGUGGGGAUUGCGUUGGAUUCGCUAGUUGGAGGGGUAACGGCCCAACAAGGCGAUGAUCAGUAGGCGGUCUGAGGGGGUGAACGGGCACAAUGGGACUGAGACACGGCCCAGACUCCUACGGGAGGCAGGAGUGGGGAAUCUUCCGCAAUGGACGAAAGGCUGACGGAGCAACGCCGCGGGAGGGAUGACGGCCUUCGGGUUGGAAAGCUCUGUUAAUCGGGACGCGGUACCGGAAUAGAAAGCCACGGCUAACUACGUGCCAGCCGCCGCGGUAAUAC
rnacentral:rRNA from 1 species